GGGUUGCUAGCUCGGUGGUAGAGUUCCGGCUUUGUAUGUAUGAUGUCCUGGGUUCAAUCCCCAGGUCGUCGU